GCCCGGGUGGUGAAAUUGGUAGACACAAGGGAUUUAAAAUCCCUCGGGUGUAUAACCCGUGCCGGUUCGACUCCGGCCCCGGGCACCA
rnacentral:tRNA from 2 species